rnacentral:rRNA from 1 species
CAGCACCUCAAGUGGUCAGGAUGAUUAUUGGGCCUAAAGCAUCCGUAGCCUGCUUUGUUAGUUUUCGGUUAAAUCCAUACGCUCAACGUAUGGGCUGCCGGGAAUACUGCAAAGCUAGGGAGUGGGAGAGGUAGACGGUACUCGGUAGGAAGGGGUAAAAUCCUUUGAUCUAUUGAUGACCACCUGUGGCGAAGGCGGUCUACCAGAACACGUCCGACGGUGAGGGAUGAAAGCUGGGGGAGCAAACCGGAUUAGAUACCCGAGUAGUCC